GAUCGUGUAAGGAGUUCGAGGCGUUGGUUUGCUCUGACCAAAAUACACCCUAACGUGGAUUGGUUUCACAGCUUUGAGGUUCUCUCUGGUGACGGUGUGCCUUGCAGCUGAGGAUGGUUCUAGAUUCAAGGAAACAGGAGAGAGAGAGCUAUCCACCUACUAGGGCUUCGGCUGUUAGGUGGGGUUUGGAUGGAUCACUACUAUUCAGGCUCCAUCCGUGCGGGUACAGUU
rnacentral:lncRNA from 1 species